rnacentral:lncRNA from 1 species
CUCUUUCUCUCUCUCUGUAUCAAACUCUUUGCUCGUUGUUUUUCUAGGUAUUUCUUUUGUUCCUAACACGUAUAUUUCGUCUUUGAUUUGUGAAAUCUCAAAAAAAAAUGAAGCUUCAUUUCUGCCGUUAGGUUUCACUAGAGUGGUGUUGCUUGACAUUUCAGUUCGAUUAAUGGAGUUCUUAACCAAGCAUUUGAAUACACAAGUUGGGUUUAGCUUACUCUAAAGGUCCAACUUUGCUUCAAAAAGGUAAUUGAUUAAUUUAAGUAUUUGCAUUUAUUUUUUCGGUUAUAAAUUGGUAUUAUGAUUAUGUUGUUUCUGGGAUUCUAUAAUUUUUACAUAAGAUUCUAAAUUGGGGACGUUAGAAUGCUGUAAAUAAAGAAAUGAUCUUUAUAAUCAGAGUCAAAUGGUAGAGCGUGCAGUAAAAAAUGACAUCACCGGCAACUUUGCCACCAUAUCCGGUGGCUUCAGCAGAAAAGUCAUAGCUUUCUGCUCCUCUAUUGUAUGGAGUUUGUUGACACACAUAUUAUUGCAUACUUUAAACAAGUAUGUUUAAAGUACUCAAGAUUAGGCAUAUUUUUAAAUUUCUUUCUGUUUUUGUUGUGGCAAUUAAUUUUAGAUAUAAACCUAUCAAUCAUUUAUUGUGUGCUCUUGGAUCUCCAGUUUCUUUUAUCUUUCAUAAAUCAGCACUUCCUUGGUUCUUCCAGUAAUGAAUACACCUUGCAUACCUCAAAUAUAAAGCAUAUUGUCAAUUUUUUACCAAUGCGAUGACUUUUUACAGAUUGUAUGAGCCUUUUAGCUUUUUUUGUUAUGUCAUUAGACAAAACUGUUGGGAAAAAAGAAAUGACCCUUUCCCGUAAACCCUGAGAUCUCCGCCCCUUUUGUAAAG